rnacentral:lncRNA from 1 species
AAUCAAGGUAUAUGCUUAAGUAGGGAACCUGAUACUAAGAGGAGAAGAAAGAAAAGGAUACGAAGUUGAGGGUCGUUUAGACUGUUGAAAUUCUGAAAACAAUGCAGGGCAAUUCAACUAAUCAAAAAAUAAAUCCUUCCAUUAACAGCAAUGAGCCCUACAAAAGACAUCGACAGAAUGACAUCCCAAGGAGUUGUUAGCGAGAUUGCAAAUCCCUAAACGAAUGUCGAGUUCGCCCAUUUCUCAGUCAGAUGUAUGUCCUUUUUCCCUUUCUUGUUCCUGUUCUUCUUCCCUCCGAAGUCAGGACUGAAUCUCAUUUCUCACCAAUGUCGAAGUGCCAACAGCUUAGCUUCACUGGCUGAGUGAGAUCAUAAUAGUUAACUUG